AUUGAACGCUGGCGGCAUGCCUUACACAUGCAAGUCGAACGGCAGCACGGGGGGUAACCCCUGGUGGCGAGUGGCGAACGGGUGAGUAAUAUAUCGGAACGUGCCCUGUAGCGGGGGAUAACCUAUCGAAAGAUGGACUAAUACCGCAUACGCUCUACGGAGGAAAGCGGGGGUCGCAAGACCUCGCACUAUAGGAGCGGCCGAUAUCGGAUUAGCUAGUUGGCGGGGUAAAAGCCCACCAAGGCGACGAUCCGUAGCUGGUCUGAGAGGAUGAUCAGCCACACUGGAACUGAGACACGGUCCAGACUCCUACGGGAGGCAG
rnacentral:rRNA from 1 species